rnacentral:rRNA from 1 species
AGAACGAACGCUGGCGGCAGGCUUAACACAUGCAAGUCGAACGCCCCGCAAGGGGAGUGGCAGACGGGUGAGUAACGCGUGGGAAUCUACCCAGUUCUACGGAAUAACACAGGGAAACUUGUGCUAAUACCGUAUACGCCCUACGGGGGAAAGAUUUAUCGGGAUUGGAUGAGCCCGCGUAAGAUUAGCUAGUUGGUGGGGUAAUGGCCUACCAAGGCGACGAUCUUUAGCUGGUCUGAGAGGAUGAUCAGCCACACUGGGACUGAGACACGGCCCCAGACUCCUACGGGAGGCAGCAGUGGGGAAUAUUGGACAAUGGGCGCAAGCCUGAUCCAGCCAUGCCGCGUGAGUGAUGAAGGCCUUAGGGUUGUAAAGCUCUUUCAGUGGGGAAGAUAAUGACGGUACCCACAGAAGAAGCCCCGGCUAACUUCGCGCCAGCAGCCGC